rnacentral:rRNA from 1 species
GACGAACGCUGGCGGCGUGCCUAAUACAUGCCAGUCGAACGCUGAAGGAGGAGCUUGCUUCUCUGGAUGAGUUGCGAACGGGUGAGUAACGCGUAGGUAACCUGCCUGGUAGCGGGGGAUAACUAUUGGAAACGAUAGCUAAUACCGCAUAACAGUAGAUAUCGCAUGAUAUCUACUUGAAAGGUGCAAUUGCAUCACUACCAGAUGGACCUGCGUUGUAUUAGCUAGUUGGUGAGGUAACGGCUCACCAAGGCGACGAUACAUAGCCGACCUGAGAGGGUGAUCGGCCACACUGGGACUGAGACACGGCCCAGACUCCUACGGGAGGCAGCAGUAGGGAAUCUUCGGCAAUGGACGGAAGUCUGACCGAGCAACGCCGCGUGAGUGAAGAAGGUUUUCGGAUCGUAAAGCUCUGUUGUAAGAGAAGAACGAGUGUGAGAGUGGAAAGUUCACACUGUGACGGUAUCUUACCAGAAAGGGACGGCUAACUACGUG